UUCUUUCUAGGUACACUUUCCAGUACACCUACUUUGUUACGACUUAUUUCAUUUUAAAAUGAAAGCGACGGGCGAUAUGUGCAUAUUUUAGAGCUAAAAUCAUUUUAAAUAAAUAUUUAAAAUUACUCUCAAAUCCAAAUUUAAAUUUUUUUAAAAAAAAUUCUCCUUAAAUAAAUUUAAUGUAACCCACCUCUUCUUUACUAUAAACUACACCUUGAUCUGAUUUAUUUUCUAAUUAAAAACUAUGAAUAUUAAAUUCCUAUUAAAAUAUUCUAACUACGACGAUAUGUAAACUUAUAUAAAUAAAGUAAAUUUUAUCGUGGACUAUCAAUUACAGGGCAGGUUCCUCUGAAAAGACUAAAAUACCGCCAAAUUUU
rnacentral:rRNA from 1 species